rnacentral:lncRNA from 1 species
AACCCUAAACCUUCGACUAUAAACCCUAAAACAUCAGCUCUAAACCAUAAACCAUAAACUUCAACUCUAAACCGUAAACCAUCAACAAUAGAGUUUAGAGUUGAUGUUUCGGGAUUUAGGGUUUAGAGUUGAUGUUUCAUGGUUUAGAGUUUAGAGUUGAUGAUUUAGGGUUUAAAGUUGAUGUUUUAAGUUUAGAUUUAGGGUCUAGGGUUUACGUUUAGGGUUUAGGGUUUAGGGUUUAGGGUUGAUGUUUUAAGUUAAAUUAGUUAACAAUAUGUUUUCUUUUUGUCAAAGUUAAUCAAAAAGUUAUAAAUGUCUUUUACCCUUCAUUGAAGAUGAAAAGUGUUACUUUGAAAAUAGUAUUUUUGCAAUUUCCCUAAAUAUAUAUUAGGAAAAAUUACAUGUUUACCACUUUCAUGCUACUAUUUUUCAUUUUUACCACCACUAAAGAGACAUUUUCAAAAAUAUGCCAUUAUACUUUAUAUAUAUAAUAAAUAAAAAUUUAAAUAAAUAAAAAUCAAAAAAAUAAAAAAUAAUUUUUAAAUUUUUUUUCGAAUUAUACUAUUUCGAAAUUCAAACCCUGAACCCUACAACUCAACUCUAAACCCUAAACCACCUAUCAUAAACUCUAUUUUUUUGAAAUACAAACCCUAAACCAACUCUAAACCCUAAACCCUAAACCUUCAACUCUAAACCCUAAAACAUCAACUAUAAACCCUAACCUUCAACUCUAAACCUUAAACCAUCAACACUCUAAAAUAUCAACACUAAACCCUAAACCUUAAAAAGUAAACUCUAAACCCUAAACUCUAAAAAAUUAACCCUAAACCCCGAAACAUCAACUCUAAACCCUAAACCCUAAAAUGUAAACUCUAAACCCUAAACCCUUAAAAAUUAACCCUAAACCCUGAAACAUCAACUCUAAACCAUAAACCUUCAACUAUAAACCUUAAAACAUCAACUAUAAACCCUAAACCCUAAACUUCAACUCUAAACCCUAAACUAUCAACUCUAAACCCUAAACCCUAAAAAGUAAACUUUAAACCCUAAAAAAUUAACCCUAAACCCUGAAACAUCAACUCUAAACCCUAAACCUUCAACUCUAAACCAUAAACCUUAAAUCCUAAACCCUAAAACCCUAGAGGUGAUGUUUUAGGGUUUAGAGUUGAAGGUUUAGGGUUUCAGGGUUUAGGGUUUACAUUUAGGGAUUAGAGUUGAUGUUUUAGGGUUUAGAUUUGAAGGUUUAUGGUUUUAGGGUUUAGGGUUUGAAUUUCAGAAAAAUAUCGGGUUUAAGGUUAAGGGUUUAUGUUUAAGGUUUAUGUUUAGGGCUUAGAGUUGAUGUUUUAGGGUUUAGAUUUGAUGGUUUAGAGUUUAGGGUUUAGAGUUGAUGUUUUGGGGUUUAGGGUUUAGAGUUGAUGUUUCAUGAUUUAGGGUGUAGAGUUGAUAAUUUUGGUUUUAAAGUUGAUGUUUUAAGUUUAGGGUUUACGGGUUUAGAGUUGAUGUUUUAGGGUUUAGAUUUGAAGAUUUAGGGUUUAGAGUUUAGAAUUGAUGUUUCGGAGUUUAGGGUUUAGAGUUGAUAUUUCAUGGCUUAGGAUUUAGAGAUUAGAGUUGAUGUUUCAUGGUUUAGAUUAGUUAACCAUAUGUUUUUUUUGUCAAAGUUAAUCAAAAAGGUUAUAAUUGUCUUUUAUCCUUCAUUAAAAUUGAAGGUAAAAAUGAUUAGUGUAAACAUGAAAAGUGGUACUUUGAAAAUGAUAUUUUUGGCAAUUUCCCUAUAUAUUAAGACAAAUAAUUUAACUACAAUUUGGUCGAUAGUGAAAGAAGCAUUAAAAAAAAGAAUAUUUUAACUUCCAAAAAAUUAGAUAUUUCAGUUGUGGUAAAUACUCAAUUAUAAGGUGCUCACGUCAAUUUGCAUCUGUAUGUGUAUGUAAAACUAUAUAAAGAUGGUUGAUAAAUAUAUGAGAAAAUUACAUGUUUACCACUUUCAUGCUACUACUUUUCAUUUUUACCAUUAAAUGAACAUUUUCAAAAAUAUCUUCUUCAUUAAGUGGCAAAAGACUUUUAUGUCUCUUGUUCUUUAUAUAUAUAAUAAAUAAAUAUUCAAAUAAAUAAAAAUAUAAAAAAAUAAAAAAUAUUUUUUUAAAAUUUUUUUUAGAAUUAUACUAUUUCGAAAUUCAAACCUUAAACCCUAAACCAUCAAUCAUAAACUUUUUUUUUUUGAAAUAUGAACCCUAAACCCUCAACCAUCAAUCCUAAACACUUUUUUUUUUAAAUACGAACCCUAAACCCAGAAACAUCAACUCUAAACCCUAAACCACGAAACAUCAAGUCUAAACCCUAAACCUUCAACUCUAAACCCUAAAAUAUCAACUCUAAACCCUAAACCCUAAAAUUCAACUCUAAACCCUAAAACAUCAACUCUAAACCCUAAACCAUCAACACAAAACCCUAAACCCUAAACCCCAAACCAUCAACUCUAAACCCUAAACUCUAAAUCCUAAACCAUCAACUCUAAACCCUAAACUCUAAAUCUUCAACUCUAAACCCUAAACUCUAAACCCUAAAUUCUAAACCCUAAAUCCUAAACCCUAAACCCUAAAACCCUAGAGUUGAUGUUUUAGGGUUUAGAUUUGAAGUUUUAGGGUUUUAGGGUUUAGGGUUUACAUUUAGGGUUUAGAGUUGAUGUUUUAGGGUUUAGAUUUGAAGGUUUAGGGUUUAGAGUUGAUGUUUCGGUGUUUAGGGUUUAGAGUUGAUGUUUCAUGGUUUAGGGUUUAGAGUUGAUGAUUUAGGGUUUAAAGUUGAUAUUUUAAGUUUAGAUUUAGUGUUUAGAGUUUACGUUUAGGGUUUAAAGUUGAUGUUUUAGGGUUUAAAUUUGAAGGUUUAGGGUUUAGGGUUUAGAAUUGAUGUUUCAUGGUUUAGGGCUUAGAGUUAUGUUUUAAGUUUAGAUUAGUUAACCAUAUGUUUUUUUUGUCAAAGUUAAUUAAAAGGUUAUAAAUGUCUUUUAC